AUGCACGCUGGCGGCGUGCUUAACCCCUGCAAGUCGAACGGGAUCCAAGGGGUGCUUGCACUUUUUGGUGAGAGUGGCGAACGGGUGAGUAACACGUGAGUAACCUGUCCUUUUCUUUGGGAUAAGCAUUCGAAAGGGUGUUUAAUACCUUAUGUUCUGUCUGCCUCGCAUGGGGUGGGUGGGAAAGGCUUUGGCCGGAUUUGGGUGGGCUCGCGGUCUAUCAGCUUGUUGGUGGGGUGAUGGCUUACCAAGGCUUUGACGGGUAGCCGGCCUGAGAGGGUGGUCGGUCACAUUGGGACUGAGAUACGGCCCAGACUCCUGCGGGAGGCAGCAGUGGGGGAUAUUGCACAAUGGGCGAAAGCCUGAUGCAGCGACGCCGCGUGGGGGAUGAAGGCCUUCGGGUUGUAAACUUCUUUUGCUCUGAACAAGGCAUGCCAGUGGGUGUGUUGAGUGUAGGGGUUGAUUAGCGCCGGCUAACUACGUG
rnacentral:rRNA from 1 species